GUAGGUGUGGGUUAAGUAUGAUUUUAGCGAUUAAAUCGUUUCAUUGCGAAGUGUAACAUUAUCUGAAAAUAUUCCAAGAUUACUGAAAUGUUAAAUAAAUCCAAGAUGGCGGCUAAUGCUAAAAAUCGGCGAAACAAUUUAUGCAAAAUAAUUUGAGAGCAGAAUUUUUCAGUCAAAAAGAUAACAUUACGUGAAGGAUGGGUGUUUGUUGCGGAGCUGCUCCUGGAGGAGAUCUUGCAUUGCUGAGUCGCAGUUCAAUGCAGUUGGUCCAGCAGAGGAAGGAUUAUCAUAAUUUAAAAUGAGGAUAUGCUGUCAUCGUAACUUUUACACGUCUCAGAAAUUCUCCCUUAUAGGUAUACAAAAGAAAGAAGUCCUUUUAUAAAAAGGAUAUGCUGUCAUCGUAUCUUUGACACUAAAAAUUCCCUCAUAUAGCUCCAUUCCAAUUUUCCAAAUAUCUGAAGAGACUAGGAGGGAUGUGGAAGAAGAAAAGUGGCCCCAGCAUAUAUGUUUUUUUUAAUAAAUUUUUUUUUCUUUUUUCUUAUUUUUUUUUUUAUA